AUGAAUUCAUCAAAGGGAAUUAAGCUGCUCCUGGUUGAGGCAUCCCAGAAAAGCUGUUGGAGUCCUUCUGCUCUUCCAGAGCAGGACGGGAAAAGCUUGGCACCAUCAGGCCAGGCAGAGCCUCUGCCUGGGAAUCUGCCAGGUCAUAACCAGGCCAGCCAGGCCAUGCGUGGUGGGAGCCUGCGCCACCUUCCCAGGCCUGGGCUGCCCAGGCCCAUCUACAUGGAUCCUGCUAGAGAUGAGAGAUGGGAACUAAACACAAACAAGCAUAUUCUCUCAGGAAUUUAGGGAGCUGGAGCAGGAGGGGUCCUGCUGGGAAACACAGAGCUGUGUUUUGAGCCCCUCAAGGGCAGCAGUGGCUCCCCCAAAACCAUCAGAUCAUCAGGUCUUUGCUGAAGGAGGCUACUGCCUUCUAGCAGCUAAGCUGAAUUUUCUCUCCAACAAGCUGACUGAAGUUUCAUGCCCUGGAUUAAUUUGCCCACAGUGUUUUGGGAAGAUCUUGGGAUGGCAGCCUGCAUCUAAAGCCUUGGGUGCAGCAGGAUCCAUGCCAGCAGAGAAGACCCUCCAGGUGGAGCCUGGGAUGCCGCAGUAGUUUCCCACGCCCCGGGCUGUCCCUGGCACGGUUGAUGCCAGCCCCUGGCAGGGUCAAUGCCAGCCCCAGCACUCCUGCCUGUGCUGACACGGCAGCCCGGCACAGCCGGCCCAGGGCUGGUCCCAAACCACACACGGAGCUGCAGCCACAGAGAGCAGGAGCGGCCUCCCCUCCCUCCCAGGCAUAAUGGCUGCGAACACAGUUCAAAGUUCUCCUCGGUACAAAAACGGGCUUUGAGGGUAAUUUGUUGCAGCUUGAAAGCAGCUGAAGUUAAUUACAGAGCAAUGAAAUAUCACACUUUAAUAUUGCUUCAUUCCCCUUGGCUGGGCUGCUGUGGAACGCUGCUCCGUUCCGGGAUCCAGACCCGAGCGCUCUCUCAUCUCCAGAUAACAUCCCGGUUAAACAGGGAGAGGCAGGCUGUGGGAGCUCAGGAGAAAGGGGGCCGGAGCACAGCACUGCACCUGGGGGCUCCCACAGGCACGGUGCUGUUCAGCACAUCCCUAACUGUGCCAGGGCACUCAGGGAGCCCCCAGCCCCGUGCUGGAAGCUCAGCCCCCGUGUGAGACACAGGCUGUUCCCUGCCCACGCACAGGGCACCCCUCAGUGCCUCUGAGCCCUGCCAUGCCUGGCCCGGCGGUCAGCCCGGGAAGCCCCUGGCUGCAGGCCAGCACUGCCCAGGUGAGCUCCUGACUCAUGCAGCUCCUGAGCAGGAGCUGGAGUGCCGUGGCCAAGGGCAGUGCAGGCGUCUGCAUCCUCUGCAGGCCUGGGAAAGGCUGCUGGGAGCACGGGGAGCAGCAGCCUUGUCCUACCUGGAGCUCGGGCUGGCUCUGUCAGGCAGCCGUAUGAGCAGAGUUGUCCUGCUUGCUGGUCACCCCAGAGAAGAUGCCAAGUGUCCCUCUUGCCCUGAUGCCACUUGGGUGCUUUCUUCUGCUUGGAAAUGACACGGAAUAAAGCAACAGGGAACACCAGGGUGGACAAAGCACUUGCAAACAGAACUUGUGCAGCCUAGGCAAGGGACAGAGUUGGCCCAAGCAUGGCUACAGCCACCACUACGCAAUACAGGGCAUCUCAAAGCCAGAAGGAUGGGAAUCCCAGCGUCCUUGUUAGUGUCAUCAGCCAAAACAGAGUUACAAGCACAAAUCUGAGAGCCCUUUCCACACACUGAAGGGCCUUGGCCACCCCAGCCCACUCCACAGAGGCUGCAGCCCCCUCCUCAGUGCUGUCAUCCUGCGGGGCCGCUCAGAGAAGAAGCAGGCCGCAUUGCCACCUAAUGGGAUGCGCUGGGAAAGCCCCAGCAUCCCGCUGGAAACUAGACACCAGCACCCUGGGGGCUCUGCAGGUACUUCACAUGCCCUGCACCGGCAGAGCCGGCCCGGACAGGCCACCCCCGGCUCUGUGACACAAAUCAGAGGGGCCAGGCAGGACUGAGGGUUUGUGUGCUCGGAGCUGUGCCGGGAAACAAGGCAGCCGCUCAUCACCCAGUGGUAUCACCACCCACAUCUGUCUGGGCACACCAGGAGAAGUCUUUAUUGGGUCUCAAAGUCGUUUUCCCCUUGCUGCUCAUAAAAGCUCCUGCCAGCAGAGCCCAUUGAACAUUAAGCUCCUCGAGGAAGCGGCUGUCCAGUUAAAGCUGCCUCCUUGCCAAAAUGCUGCAUAUGGGCAGACACCACAGGGAAAACCAGCUCCACAGGGACUCCAGAGGUGGAUGUGGGAUGGAAGUCAGCAUGGCCAGGAGAAACAGGGGUGGUUGUGCCAGGAAAGCCCAGGGACUGGUGCACUGUGCCAAACCCACAGCACUGAACACAGCCCUCCACCCCGCUCCUCUCCAUCACUACCUGGGGAGCAACACCUUCCGUGUGACAUCACAGGGACUGCUGGGAGCAGCAAGGGCCCCAUCUCCUGAAUUACUGCACUGACAAAGCCAAAAAUGCACUGGCAGGAGGGUCUGCUCACAUCCCUGAUCCUGCCUGCAGCACCAGCUCACAACCUGGCACAACCCAGCCUGUGACCAGGAGCAGCAAUCAGAGCAGCAGCUUUAAUGCCUCGCUCCUGAGCCCCUCACCUCCCUGCAGAGUUCUCUUGGCUCACAACAAACACCUCAGGGAGAAGUCAGAGGGGAUUUGAGACCCCUCAGAGCCCAUGGUGGCUUUGGUUUCCCUUCCUCACUGAAGGUGCAGUCCCUGCCCAUGCCAGCCUGACUUCCAGGACUGCUUCAGCUGCCUGGAAGGCAAUGGGAGCUUGAUUUUUACCCAUAUCCAAAGGUAAAAUUGGAAAUUGAUUUAAUAACGUUCCUUUCUCCUUCAGCCUUGAGUCUCUUCCGUAAGCAGAGAAAAGCAUUAAAUGGAGUCUGUGUCCUAAUGGCAAAUCCCAGCCCAGUUUCUGAUACCCUCACCUUUUGUGACAUAAAACCAACUGACCUUGUCUCCCAAAACACCCAGAGGUGAAAGGAAAGUCCUGGGAGCUGCUGUAGACCCUGCCAGGACUGCACAGUUCAUGCCUGCUGUAUAUAAGCACCAUUUUGUACUUUUUUCUUUUGCAUGCAUCAACUCCUUUUAUAGACCAGAAACUGUCCUGCGAGCUUUCUACCAAAGCAUUUGGUUCCCAAAAAGGAAAUCUACUUCCACAGCAUGCAGCAAUGCUUGGAGCAGCCACCUUCUCGUAGGCAGGAGAGGAAGCAGAAAAGAGCACACCUGUGCAUCAGCAGCUGGUUAAAUCCCAUCCCCUGGUCUGCAGAGGGGCACUGCUGUGCCACCCUGGCACUGUGACAUUGCCCCAGGAGCUGGUUCUUAGUAGUGCUCCCUGCUCCAGGAGCAGGUGGAGGAAUGAGGGCAGCGCCCAUCUUAAAUUCCAAACCCAGCUGCCUUUGAAGAUGCUCAGCACUGAGCUAAUUGAGACAAAGCUUUCUCAGGCAUGGAAAAUUGAAGUCUCAUUUGUAGCUGCAGUUUUUGCUUAGGAGGGUGGAGAGCACAGCAGGAGUGGUCCCAUCAGAUAGCAGCAGCCAGGCUGGGCUCCAGCACCUGCGGAGGAAUUACACGACAGCGGGAGGCAACGCGCCAGGCUUGGUCUCGCUGGGAACGAG
ensembl:lncRNA